AGAAUCAACGCUGGCGGCGUGCCUAACACAUGCAAGUCGAACGAGAAAGUGGAGCAAUCCAUGAGUAAAGUGGCGCACGGGUGAGUAACACGUGACUAACCUACCCUUGAGUGGGGGAUAACCUAGAGAAAUCUGGGCUAAUACCGCAUAAUACCUUCGGGUCAAAGGAGCAAUUCGCUUAAGGAGGGGGUCGCGGCCGAUUAGUUAGUUGGCGGGGUAAUGGCCCACCAAGACUGUGAUCGGUAUCCGGCCUGAGAGGGCGCACGGACACACUGGAACUGAAACACGGUCCAGACUCCUACGGGAGGCAGCAGUGGGAUUUGCGCAAUGGGGGAAACCCUGACGCAGCAACGCCGCGUGGAGGAUGAAGCCCUUGGGGCGUAAACUCCUUUCGAUCGGGAAGAUAAUGACGGUACCGAGAGAAGAAGCCCCGGCUAACUUCGUGCCAGCAGCCGC
rnacentral:rRNA from 1 species